CACGAAGUUAGCCGGAGCUUAUUCUGCGGGUACCGUCAUUAUCUUCCCCGCCAAAAGAGCUUUACAACCCUAAGGCCUUCGUCACUCACGCGGCAUGGCUGGAUCAGGCUUGCGCCCAUUGUCCAAUAUUCCCCACUGCUGCCUCCCGUAGGAGUCUGGGCCGUGUCUCAGUCCCAGUGUGGCUGAUCAUCCUCUCAGACCAGCUAAGGAUCGUCGCCUUGGUGAGCCGUUACCUCACCAACUAGCUAAUCCUACGCGGGCCCAUCUAACGGCGAUAAAUCUUUCCCCGUAAGGGCGUAUCCGGUAUUACCCCAAGUUUCCCUGAGCUAUUCCCGACCGUAAGGUAGGUUCCCACGCGUUACUCACCCGUCUGCCACUCCCCUUGCGGGGCGUUCGACUUGCAUGUGUUAGGCCUGCCGCCAGCGUUCGUUCUGAGCCAGGAUCAAACUCU
rnacentral:rRNA from 1 species